GCGUUGUCCGGAAUUAUUGGGCGUAAAGGGCUCGUAGGCGGUCUGUUACGUCGGUAGUGAAAACUCGGGGCCCAACCCCGAGCCUGCUUCCGAUACGGGCAGACUAGAGGUAUGCAGGGGAGAAUGGAAUUCCUGGUGUAGCGGUGAAAUGCGCAGAUAUCAGGAGGAACACCGGUGGCGAAGGCGGUUCUCUGGGCAUUACCUGACGCUGAGGAGCGAAAGUGUG
rnacentral:rRNA from 1 species